UCUGCUUCCCAGGAGAGGAGGAUCCUGUCCUGGGGGCUGUUUCCUCUUUCCUGAACUGGCUGUUUCCCUCUCUCUGUCCGGCUGAGAGUGUGUGCUCAGAGGGCAGCUGAAGGCCUUGCACAAUCUCAGGUCAGGAAAGGCCUAAACGGGGGACAGCCCCCACUGGACAAGGCUUGAGCACUUGGGCAACUGAAGUGGGACCUAGGGCCACAGUGAAGCUUUCUCCCAGGCAAAUGGGAAGAGGGGCUAGUGUUCUUGUUCUCCAGUAAAGCCAAGCCUAGCCUGUCUCUGGGCCACGAAGCCUUUGAGGAGAGUCCCUGGCAGCCGGCUCUCCAGUACCUUGCAGACCACGUACAUCCACCCCGUGACAGCCACGCUGUGAGACGGAAGCUAUACCAGAAAAUGCUAGAGUGAUCAAGAACCAGAGACUAGAUGGCCCAGGCACCUAGGAUCAGUGCCUCGCUCAGCCAUCAUCAGAGAGAAACUUCCUCCUGCAGUGUGAAACAAAUACACAGACCCACAGCCAGACAUUACUCAGAGAUAGAGAGACCUUAGAACACUCGGUUCUAAACGAAAUGUCUCCAGCAAAUCCUUCCCCUCAGAGCUCAGGGAAUCCCACAGAAGAGGAGGGAAGACAGUAAGAGCCAGAGGGGAUGACAGACACCAGGAGAGCAAGGCCGCCUGAAUCCACUGAGCAAGGACCAUGUGAACUCACAGAGACCGAAGCCACAAGCCCAGGGCCUGCUGGUCUGCACCAGGUCCUCCGUGUAUGUAUUAUGGCUUCCAGUUUAGCACUUUUAUGGAGUUCCCAAGUGUGUGAACAAGAGGGUCUCUGAUUCUUGUACCUGCUCUUGAGUUCUUUUCCUUCUGUUGGGUCACCUGGUUCAGACUCAACGUUAGGGGUUUUGUUUUAUCUUAUUUUAUCUUGUUGUUAUCUCUUUGAAGUCUGUUCUUUUUUAGUAAGUGACAGAAAGAGUGGAUCUGAUGAGUGGGGAUAUGGGGCAGGAACUGGGAGGAAUAGAGGGAGGGGGAACUAUAUUGUCUGAGAAAAUAAUCCAUUUUCAAUAAAAGGGGAAAAGUUGGUUACAAAAUAGCAGUAGUAUAAAUAAAACAGAAUGUGUCACCUUUUCUCUCAAGUUGGCAUUGGCAUACAACUUAUUUUUGUGUGUGGAUGGGUUGAAAUAGGGUCUUUAUUAUAUAGUCCUGAUUGGUCUUGAACUUGUGAUCUCUUGCCACAGUUUCCAAGUGCUGGGAUUAUAGCUCUGGGCUACCAUAUCCAUCUGUCAACUUGAUCAUUGUGAAACCGAACCUUUUGUUUUUAAGUCAGCUGUCUUCAAUAGUCUUGCUUCUACUCAUGGUCCAAGGUGGCUUCUGGGGCUCCAGUCAUUAAGCAAGACAGAGGAAGGGUCAAUGCAAUUCAUGCCCAACUUUGUAACAUUUCCUUAAAUUGCAUACUUCAAGCUUUUUUAUGUCAGUCUAGCUAGAAAUUAGUCACGAGGUCUUAUGUAAUUGUUCUAAUAGAGAAUAUUCCCUGAGUAAA